rnacentral:rRNA from 1 species
CAGCAGCCACGGGAAUACGUAGGGUGCGAGCGCUAAUCGGAAUUACUGGGCGUAAAGCGUGCGCAGGCGGUUCGUUAAGACAGAUGUGAAAUCCCCGGGCUUAACCUGGGAACUGCAUUUGUGACUGGCGAGCUAGAGUAUGGCAGAGGGGGGUAGAAUUCCACGUGUAGCAGUGAAAUGCGUAGAGAUGUGGAGGAAUACCGAUGGCGAAGGCAGCCCCCUGGGCCAAUACUGACGCUCAUGCACGAAAGCGUGGGGAGCAAACAGGAUUAGAUACCCGAGUAGUCCCUGUCUCUUAUAC